rnacentral:lncRNA from 1 species
AAGGAACCCUAACCACAUCUUCCCUGAAAUCUUCAUCGACAUUGUGUUUACUGCCUCUUCCUCGAACUAACUCUAUAUCUUGUCUUCUCCGAUAACCGAUAUCAUCUUCUCUGCUGCGUUUUUCGAGUUUGUGGCUGAGUUUUAAUUUAUGUUGUGGCUGAGUUACUUUUCUUUUAUGGCUGGUUUAUAUAUGCAGCUAUGGUUGAGUUACUUCUCGCCAAUUUUCGAAAACCUUGUUAUAAGAAGUGUGCAUUCCGAGGAGAAAAGACAAAUACAUUCAAAAAAACACCCAGAUCGGCAAUUGUGGGAUAUAUUUAAUUAAGUUUGUUUAUGAUUUUAUUCCCAUAUAUGGAUAAUCUAUUUUUUUUUUUCAGAUCUGAGUGAAAGAGAAAUUUGAACAAAAAGAAAAUAAAGGAGACAAAAAGAAGUGACGGAGGAUUCAGCAGAGACGACACAGAGG